rnacentral:tRNA from 1 species
GUUUUCGUAGUGUAGUGGUUAUCACGUGCGCUUUACACGCGCAAGGUCCCCAGUUCAAUCCUGGGCGAAAACA